rfam:Bacteroides oleiciplenus YIT 12058 genomic scaffold supercont1.1, whole genome shotgun sequence.
GGAGUAAAGCUUGCUGUGAGAAGUCAGCAGACGACAUAGUACCCGAAAAAAAAAUCGGCAUUCGGGGAAGGUC